rnacentral:rRNA from 1 species
CUACGGGGUGCACCAGUGAGGAAUUUUGCGCAAUGGGGGAAACCCUGACGCAGCAACGCCGCGUGAGUGAAGAAGGCCCUUGGGUCGUAAAGCUCUGUCAAUGGGGAAGAAGUUAUUAUGUGUUAAUAGCACAUUUUAUUGACGGUACCCAUGAAGGAAGCACCGGCUAACUCCGUGCCAGCAGCCGCGGUAAUACGGGGGGUGCAAGCGUUAUUCGGAAUUAUUGGGCGUAAAGGGCACGCAGGCAGUCCUGUCAGUCAGAUGUGAAAGCCCGGGGCUCAACCCCGGACGUGCAUUUGAAACAGCAGGACUUGAGUGCGGGAGAGGAAAGGGGAAUUCCUGGUAUAGAGGUGAAAUUCGUAGAUAUCAGGAGGAACACCGGUGGCGAAGGCGCCUUUCUGGACCGAUACUGACGCUGAGGUGCGAAGGCGUGGGUAGCGAACGGGAUUAGAUACCCUGGUAGUC